rnacentral:rRNA from 1 species
AGGGAAUCUUCCACAAUGGACGGAAGUCUGAUGGAGCAACGCCGCGUGAGCGAAGAAGGUCUUCGGAUCGUAAAGCUCUGUUGUAAGGGAAGAAUAAGUACAGUAGUAACUGGCUGUACCUUGACGGUACCUUACGAGAAAGCCACGGCUAACUACGUGCCAGCAGCCGCGGUAAUACGUAGGUGGCAAGCGUUGUCCGGAAUUAUUGGGCGUAAAGCGCGCGCAGGCGGCCUUUUAAGUCUGAUGUGAAAGCCCCCGGCUUAACCGGGGAGGGUCAUUGGAAACUGGGAGGCUUGAGUGCAGAAGAGGAAAGUGGAAUUCCAAGUGUAGCGGUGAAAUGCGUAGAGAUUUGGAGGAACACCAGUGGCGAAGGCGACUUUCUGGUCUGUUACUGACGCUGAGGCGCGAAAGCGUGGGGAGCAAACA